GGAAAGUUUGGAUAUUUACAUCAAGUUCCUCGACAGAAUGACUAAAUUGGCACAGUUCCUUAAAGUUGCAGAGCAAGCUGGAAUUGACCCGAAUGACAUUCCAUAUCUUUCUCAGGCACCCUACAGUUUACUUGAAGCACUAAAACAGCAUUUGGCUUCUCUGGAGAACAAACAUGACAUUCUACCUCCUUAUGGCAUGCAGCGUGCAUUGAUUCCGUCCAUACCAAACAGUCCAGUUGUGAGAACCUCAGCAAGCAAAGUCAGGUUUUCAGGUGAUAUGACUCUGUUCUAUGAUUAUGACAGUGAUAAUUGAGGGCAGGAUUAGAAUCUUUAAUUCUUUAAUUUCCUAACCACUCACUAUAUGUGCCGCCUCUUCCUAAAGCAAUCUUUGACCUAGCAACUUCAUUUCUAGAAAGUUAUCCCAUAUAUAUUCAUAGUUGUGAAAUGUCAUAUGAACAAGGAUGUACCUUACAACAUUGUAAUAACAAAAUGACCCUCUAUAAGGGGCACUGGAAUGGAAUGACCUCCAACAUGUAUUGUAAAAUACAUGUAUUUUCUAUUGUUGAAUAGAAAAUGAGCAAGGUGGGAAACAGUGUAUA
rnacentral:lncRNA from 1 species